UUAAUAUACGGAGAUAUCGGAACAUCACAGCAUCGCAUCGAGGAACAUUGGACUACAGUACAGUGCAGUUAUAUCGAUUGAAACUACCAUGGAGGGCUACAUCUUUCAAAACUGGGCCGAGACAUUCUCCUGUAAGCCUGAGCUCUACUUUGAACCACAGGACACAGCAGAACUUACCCAGAUUGUUGAGCGAGCACGUACAGAAGGUAAACGGGUGAAGGUAUGUGGUAGCAAGCACUCCCUGUCAGACAUUGCAUGUACGACCGGAUACAUGAUCAACAUGAAACACAUCAACAAAGU